rnacentral:rRNA from 1 species
ACGAACGCUGGCGGCGUGCCUAACACAUGCAAGUCAACUUGACUGAAGGAGCAAUCUGACAGUAGAGUGGCGCAAGGGUGCGUAACGCGUAGUAACUUGCCCAAGGUAAGGAAUAACGUCGAGAAAUCGGCGCUAAUACCUCAUAAUGCAGCGGAUCCGCAUGGAUAUGUUGUUAAAGGUUUACCGCCUUGGGAUAGGCUUGCGUCUGAUUAGUUAGUUGGUGUGGUAACGGCACACCAAGGCUACGAUCAGUAACUGGUCUGAGAGGAUGAUCAGUCACACUGGAACUGAGACACGGUCCAGACUCCUACGGGAGGCAGCAGUGAGGAAUAUUGGGCAAUGCUCGAAAGAGUGACCCAGCAACGCCGCGUGGAGGAUGAAGGUAUUCUAUAUCGUAAACUCCUGUGAGAGCAGACGAAAGACAGAUUAUUAAUCUGGAUGACUGUAUGCUCAGAGGAAGCCCCGGCUAACUACGUG